UACGGAGGGUGCAGGCGUUAUCCGGAAUCAUUGGGUUUAAAGGGUCCGCAGGCGGUCUAAUAAGUCAGUGGUGAAAGCCUACAGCUCAACUGUAGAACUGCCAUUGAUACUGUUAGACUUGAAUUCGGUCGAAGUGGGCGGAAUGUGACAUGUAGCGGUGAAAUGCUUAGAUAUGUCACAGAACACCGAUAGCGAAGGCAGCUCACUAGGCCUGGAUUGACGCUCAGGGACGAAAGCGUGGGGAGCAAACAGG
rnacentral:rRNA from 1 species